UUCACAAAGAGAUCCAUUUAAAGACUUUACAACGUACGUACACUCAUAUGUGUUAGAGGCACUUUCAGUUUGGCCUUCAUUCAGUUCACAAAGAGAUCCAUUUAAAGACUUUACAGAAGAAAAAUGACAGGAUGAAAACUGUGCCUCGAGGAGAUUAAACUGGAAGCAGAAGGUAUCAACCCAGGCCAUGGAGCUGAAUGGAGAAGAAAUGCCUUCCAUCCCUUCCAACCAUUUGGCUUCUCCAGUCCCUCACCUCAAGCAAACCUCAUCAAGGUUUUCCGAUUUCCAGACCCAGGUCCUGAGCAACUAUGUAAAUGCAAACAAACACUGGUGAUGACUGUAAGGCCAUCAAACUCCAAACAGUCAUGCAACCAGAGCCUCUGAAGAUGGCCCCUUCUGCCGGGAACCCUUAGAUCAGCCUCUGAGGGAGUUCUGCCAUUUCCCCAAAACAGCGCCCCCUGUCAGCAGGAAGCGGUUAAGAUCAGUCUUCAUCCUUAUCCUUAAUCUAACCA
ensembl:lncRNA novel transcript